UAUCUAUUUUCAAGAGCACAA
rnacentral:piRNA from 1 species